rnacentral:rRNA from 1 species
AUUGAACGCUGGCGGAAUGCUUUACACAUGCAAGUCGAACGGCAGCACGGGGCAACCUGGUGGCGAGUGGCGAACGGGUGAGUAAUACAUCGGAACGUGCCCAAUCGUGGGGAUAACGUAGCGAAAGUUACGCUAAUACCGCAUACGAUCUACGGAUGAAAGCGGGGGAUCGCAAGACCUCGCGCGAAUGGAGCGGCCGAUGUCAGAUUAGGUAGUUGGUGGGGUAAAGGCUCACCAAGCCAACGAUCUGUAGCUGGUCUGAGAGGACGACCAGCCACACUGGAACUGAGACACGGUCCAGACUCCUACGGGAGGCAGCAGUGGGGAAUUUUGGACAAUGGGCGCAAGCCUGAUCCAGCCAUUCCGCGUGCAGGAUGAAGGCCUUCGGGUUGUAAACUGCUUUUGUACGGAACGAAACGGCGAGCUCUAAUACAGUUUGCUAAUGACGGUACCGUAAGAAUAAGCACCGGCUAACUACGUG